AUUUCCGAUGGAUCACAUCAUAUUACAGUUUGACCUGCCGAAAAUGCAUGAAGCGAAUAAGAGAAGGAUAUCAUUAGGACCACUUUGUUGUACAGCCACUAUAGGAUUUCCUUGCGACACAGAUCAUCUCAAGUCUGUUGUUAAGUCAAGCCGAUAAUAAAGGAAACCUGAAAGUGAYUGCUCUUAAAAUAGAGUUGCGGMCAGUAGUGAUCAUGACCUCCUGUACAUCAAGACUUAUGAAUSAUCGAUAUCGAUGCCUGGGUGGCGUGGAACCAAUUGAGUGUAGUUGUCUCAGGUUUCUCAACAAAUGCAGGCUAUAGCUAGGUAGCUCGAUACAUAUGUGACUUAUUCCUUACUGGAAGGGAUAUAUCUCAGUGCAUAUUCGUUCGCUUGUGCGAAUCAAUAUGAAAUUGACGUUGUAAUAAUUAGGGACCGUUCAUUAAUUUUGC